rnacentral:rRNA from 1 species
UACAGAGGUCCCAAGCGUUGUUCGGAUUCAUUGGGCGUAAAGGGUGCGUAGGCGGUGCCGUAAGUCGGAUGUGAAAUCUCGGGGCUCAACCCCGAGCGGUCGUGAGAAACUGGCAGGCUAGAGUGCGGGAGAGGAGAGUGGAAUUCCUGGUGUAGCGGUGAAAUGCGUAGAGAUCGUAAGGAAGACCAGUGGCGAAGGCGGGUCUCUGGACAGUUCCUGACACUGAGGCACGAAGGCCAGGGGAGCAAACGGG